rnacentral:rRNA from 1 species
GCAAGUCGUGGGGUAACGAUGUCUUCGGACAGGCGACGACCGGCGCACGGGUGCGUAACUCGUAUGCAACCUACCUUUACCUGGCGGAUAGCCCCGAGAAAUCGGGAUUAAUACUCCAUAGUAAUGAGAUUCGGCAUCGUUUUUCAUUUAAAGCUCCGGCGGUUAAAGAGGGGCAUGCGUGACAUUAGUUAGUUGGUGAGGUAACGGCUCACCAAGACUGCGAUGUCUAGGGGGUCUGAGAGGAUGAUC